rnacentral:rRNA from 1 species
UUAAAAAGCUCGUAGUUGGAUUUCUGUCCGAGGCAGCCGGUCCGCACCUGGUGCGUGUAUCAGGUUUGACUAGGGCAUCCCCUUGGGGAACGUUUCUGUGCUUCAUUGCAUGGGACGGAAUUCAAGACUUUUACUUUGAGGAAAUUAGAGUGUUCACGGCAAGCUAUCGCUUUGAAUACAUUAGCAUGGAAUAAUAAUAUAGGGCGUAAGUCUUAUUUUGUUGGUUUCUAGGACAUACGCAAUGAUUAAUAGGGACAAUUGGGGGCAUUCGUAUUAACGCGUCAGAGGUGGAAUUCUUAGAUUGCGUUACGACGAACUACUGCGAAAGCAUUUGCCAAGGAUGUUCUCAUUGAUCAAGAACGAAAGUAU